rnacentral:rRNA from 1 species
CCUACGGGAGGCAGCAGUAAGGAAUAUUGGUCAAUGGACGAAAGUCUGAACCAGCCAUGCCGCGUGAAGGAUUAAGGUCCUCUGGAUUGUAAACUUCUUUUAUCUGGGACGAAAAAAGGCGAUUCUUCGUCACUUGACGGUACCAGAUGAAUAAGCACCGGCUAACUCCGUGCCAGCAGCCGCGGUAAUACGGAGGGUGCAAGCGUUAUCCGGAUUCACUGGGUUUAAAGGGUGCGUAGGCGGGCAGGUAAGUCAGUGGUGAAAUCCUUGAGCUUAACUCGAGAACUGCCAUUGAUACUAUCUGUCUUGAAUAUUGUGGAGGUAAGCGGAAUAUGUCAUGUAGCGGUGAAAUGCUUAGAUAUGACAUAGAACACCUAUUGCGAAGGCAGCUUACUACGCAUAUAUUGACGCUGAGGCACGAAAAGCGUAGGGGAUCAAACAGGAUUAGAUACCCUGGUAGUCCACGCCCUAAACGAUGAUUACUCGACAUUUGUGAUACACUAUAAGUGUCUGAGCGAAAGCAUUAGUAAUCCACCUGGAAGUACGAUACGCAAGAUUGAAACUUCAAAGGAAAUUAGAACGG